rnacentral:lncRNA from 1 species
UGAAACAAAAAGUACGACUGACGAAAUCCCCAAAUCCAAAUCGCCUACAAGGCUUCUCUAAUACGAAUCGAUCAAGCUUCUGAUCAAUUCUACCUCCCCCAAGUCUAAAUCGCCUGCAAAGACAUCCCCCUUUAUGUUCCACUCUCAAUUAAUCGACCAGGCUUCUGAUCAAUUUCUACCUCCCCCAAAUCCAAAUCGCCUGCAAAUACCUCCCCCAUGAAUCGACUGCAACUGCAAAUCCCAUGGCUUCUUGUUCAUAUUUGGUAAAGUAUUCGAUUCGAGCAACUUCUUGUUGUGUUAACUUGAACAUACAUAUGGUGUUGAAUUUAGUUUGUUAUGUUCGAAGUUGGAUUUGUAACUAUGAAUUUUUUGUUGAUUUGUAAUUUUGAUUGAAUUAUGUUAUUUGUAAUUUUGGGAUUAGCUAGAUGUGGAAGAACUGUAGAUUGAGAUGGAUGAAUUAUCUUCGACCGACGGUUAAACACGGUAAUUUUAGUAAAGAACAAGAAGAUUUUAUCUGCAAGUAUCAUAGAGAAAUGGGAAACAAGUAUGUGUGAUCGUAUUGUGCCGCAGAUGGUCAGCCAUUGCUGCAAAAUUACCUGGAAGAAGUGAUAACGAGAUUAAGAACCAUUGGCACACGCACCAGAAAAAACGCAUACCUGAACACACGUUCUAGAUGUUCUGAAAAAAGAAGAGGGUUCUGGUGAACAGAUUAUGCAAUUUGACAGAUUAUGUGCUGCUUCAUAAGACGCUCAUGGGGUCGAUAAUGGAAGACAUUGUGGCGACCCUCUUUGGCUGGCAUUAAGAGAGAAAGAGAAGCAAGGUUGCAAAGAAAAGCGGAUGCAACUAUUAAAAGAGAAAGAGCCAUGGCAUACGCAAGCCGAUGGAUAAAGCAAGAAAAGCAUCUUUUUUUAUUGAUUGUUAUGGUUUCAGUUUUCUUUUUUUAUUGACUGUGUUGUUUUAACAGGGGUGUGUAGUGCUAUUAUUGUAUAUGAUGGAUGAAUUGAUGUGAGUGUGUUAAUAAAUAGAGAAUAAUUUUUGU